CUUCAUUGAGCAUGUGUCAGUGGUAUUGGAUCUUUUACUUUGAAAAAAUUCGAGUGUUUCAAGCAGGCUUUUAUGCAGUGAAUACAUUAGCAUGGAAUAAUAAUUUAGAACUUCGGUUCUAUUUUGUUGGUUUCUAGGACUGAAGGAAGAGUUGAUUAAGAUAGUUGGGGGAGUCCGUGUUCAGCGGCCAGAGCAGAAAUUUUCGGAUUCACCGAAGACAAACUAAUGCGAAAGCAUCCACCAAGGAUGUCUUCUUUAAUCAAGAACGAAAGUUGGGGGAUCGAAGACGAGAGGUACCGUCGUAGUCUCAACCAUAAACUAUGCCGACUAGGGUAGAGUGAACGUUCCAUUUUCGCCUUUAUACGCACCUUAUGAGAAAGCAAAGUCUUUGGGUUCCGGGGGGAGUAUGGU
rnacentral:rRNA from 1 species